rnacentral:lncRNA from 1 species
AUCUUGGAAAUGUAUUAAAUAGUAAUGGAUAAAAUUAUAUCUAAUGAUCAUUAUAUUUUUUUCAAUGAACCUAGAUAAUAUUGAAUUAAAUGGCAUGUUAAAUGUUAACGCAUCUUAAACUAGAUUAUUAAUUUUUAUCUUGGAUCUGGAAUUUUGAUGCGAGCUCUGACGUAAAAGCUUAUUUCUAUCUCUUAUCAUUAUUUUUCCUUGUUAUGAGAAUACUAAGUGCCUGUUUGGUAUGGCUUAUUUAAGAGCCAUAAGUGCUUAUUUAAUCGUAUAAGCACUUUUUAAAAUUUUUUAUGGUGUUUGGUUAUUUUUUUAGUAUAGUUUUUUUAGCUUAAAUAAGCUAAUUUACCUCUACUAACAAAAGCCCAAAAUUUGAGCUUUUGGGAGUAGAGGUUAUAGAGCUUUUCUAAAAAUAUCUAAUAUAAAAAAUAUCACACAAUUUAAUGGUUCAAAAGUACAUUUUUUAUUGACAACCAAACACCCAAUGACUUUUUAUCCAAAAGCUCUAUUGGUAUAAGCUCUAGUGCUAUAAGCUCUACUGUUAUAAGCUCUAUUUAAUAAGCUGUACCAAACGGAGCCUAAGGCCAAUAAUAUUUAUUAUUAA